UACGGAGGGUGCAAGCGUUGUCCGGAUUUAUUGGGUUUAAAGGGUGCGUAGGCGGCUGUUUAAGUCAGCGGUGAAAUCCUCCAGCUUAACUGGAGAAUUGCCAUUGAUACUGGAUAGCUUGAGUUCAGACGAGGUAGGCGGAAUUUAUGGUGUAGCGGUGAAAUGCAUAGAUACCAUAAAGAACACCGAUUGCGAAGGCAGCUUACUAGACUGAAACUGACGCUGAGGCACGAAAGCGUGGGUAGCAAACAGG
rnacentral:rRNA from 1 species